AGGGAACUAGUAUAUUUAGUACAAUGGUCUGUAAAACUGGAGGUUUGUUUCCCUG
rnacentral:tRNA from 1 species